CCACGGGCAGGGCAGGUCACGGGGCCAUCGGAAGGAAGCGAGCUUUCCGUGCGCGCCCCCGGCUGCAGACUCCGUAGAGGCCGCAGGGAGGGGUGAAGAGGGCCGGCCGGCACGGGGAGGCUGCCUCGCUUCACUCUUCUCCUGGCCAUUCGCCUCUUGCGCCCGCUCACACGACACACCUUUCCAGGACACGGGGGAGGGGCUCAAGGGCAGCAAUCUUCUCCUGCGACUGCCCUUCGAAACAAUGCCACGCUCACACUUUCUGCCUGGUUGUUCGUUCCUUGUUGCACGUCAGAAACGAGCAGCACAGCCGGUGGGGGCCCCCUGGGAGGGCUUGAAUGGAGGUAGCAACCCUGUGAGGCAGAACUUCCCAUCCAAGACAGAUGGAAGAGAACAUCCCAUUUGGACCUUUUUUAAGAUGAAAAAGAAACUGCACAAGUGGCAAGACUUUCAAUCAACAAAGGGAGGCAUACUGGGGGGGGGUAGGAAAAAAAGAAAGGACAGGAGGGGUUUACCCCCAACACAUAAUGGACUCUGCUGCGAGAUGCAUAGAAGGGAGUUUUUGUUCAUCACUUUGGUGAAAAUUACCUCGCUUCUGGUGUAUGUUCAGCUUUGUCAAACCAUUGUUUUAACCAUUGUUGUGAGUACUUUUGGGAUUCGCCCCUAUCCUUGGUAGCACACCUUCAGUUUUGCAAUGACAGCUGAUGAUUUUCAGCUGGUACAUAAGCUGGGUUUGAGAAGUUUGGUGUAUGAAUAAGCUUUGUACCUGCUUGUUCAAGAGUACGUUCUAGAAGCAACUGGAGAGGGUGCAUAAAAGUGAAUAUUACACAAGCCGUAGGCUUGGCUUGUUAUAAUACAGUUGUUGUUGUUCUUAGAAGGUGCUCUCAUGUUGUUCUGAAUUGUUUAUAUUUAUUACCAGUUGAGUAUUUGUGAUGUUCAGAAACCUUUCUACCUUUGGGAACGAAUGGUAUAGGGGUAUCUUUUCAUUACAUCCUCUCACAAUAUAAACACUUUGUGUAUUGUAAGUUCUGAAUAAACUUUCUGUUUGGUUUAUUACUA